rnacentral:rRNA from 1 species
GUGCCAGCAGCCGCGGUAAUACGGAGGAUGCAAGCGUUAUCCGGAAUGAUUGGGCGUAAAGGGUCCGCAGGUGGCAUUGAAAGUCUGCUGUUAAAGAGUCUAGCUCAACUAGAUAAAAGCAGUGGAAACUACAAAGCUAGAGUGCGUUCGGGGUAGCAGGAAUUCCUGGUGUAGCGGUGAAAUGCGUAGAGAUCAGGAAGAACACCGGUGGCGAAAGCGUGCUACUAGGCCGUAACUGACACUGAGGGACGAAAGCUAGGGGAGCGAAUGGGAUUAGAUACCCCGGUAGUCC